AUCCAACUGACGUGUCCCGAAUAGGACGAAACGCAUGUCCUUUAU
rnacentral:hammerhead_ribozyme from 1 species